rnacentral:rRNA from 1 species
UACGUAGGGUGCGAGCGUUGUCCGGAAUUACUGGGCGUAAAGAGCUCGUAGGUGGUUUGUCGCGUUGUUCGUGAAAACUCACAGCUCAACUGUGGGCGUGCGGGCGAUACGGGCAGACUGGAGUACUGCAGGGGAGACUGGAAUUCCUGGUGUAGCGGUGAAAUGCGUAGAUAUCGGGAGGAACACCAGUGGCGAAGGCGAGUCUCUGGGAUGAUGCUGACGCUGAGGCGCGAAAGCCAGGGGAGCAAACGGG